UACGUAGGGGGCAAGCGUUGUCCGGAAUUAUUGGGCGUAAAGGGCGCGUAGGCGGUGCGGUAAGUCUGUAGUGAAAUCUCUGGGCUCAACUCAGAGUCUGCUAUAGAAACUGCCGUGCUUGAGUGUGGGAGAGGUGAGUGGAAUUCCCGGUGUAGCGGUGAAAUGCGCAGAUAUCGGGAGGAACACCGGUGGCGAAGGCGGUUCUCUGGGCCUUACCUGACGCUGAGGAGCGAAAGCCAGGGGAGCGAACAGG
rnacentral:rRNA from 1 species